CAGAACCCGAACCACGAAAAAAGAAAAUCAACCUUCUGCCAGUGGCAUCUGACUCAGAUAAUGAAAAUGAACAUGUAUCAGUACGCACUGCUUUGGAUUGUUAUCAAGCAGAAGCCAUCAUGGGCACAGAUGCAUGUUCUCUGGAGUGGUGGUUGAAGCAUGA